AAGAAUAGUGAGAAAUCACAUGUGUGGAGGACUUUGAUUUGCUUGGAACAAAGGGACUAGCUCAUCAGAUCCAAGUCGGGGAAAACACAUAAAGACUUAGGAUUUACAGAUUUCUAGUUGCACAUGGUCAGGGGUGGAACUACGUUACUGUUGAAGGGGCACAACUUCCUCACCUAUUUUAUACAUAUGAGAUAGAAAGGAAUUGAAUUCCCAGAAGCUAAAACAGGGGAGACUAAAGACCAUUGUCUUCUCUCAUCUCAUUAGCGGUGUGUGAAGGA